GUGCCCACUUUGACAUCAUAUAUACUAAAAUUGGAACAAUAUGGAGAAGAUUAACAUAGCACCUAACCAAGGAAGACAUGCAAAUUCAUGAAGCAUUCCAUAGUUUU
ensembl:snRNA U6 U6 spliceosomal RNA